GUUGUUGUGGCCGAGUGGUCUAAGGCGAUGGACUCGAAAUCCAUUGGGGUCUCCCCGCACAGGUUCAAAUCCUGUCAACAACG